rfam:Marinactinospora thermotolerans DSM 45154 genome assembly, contig: G546DRAFT_scaffold00002.2
GCCGGUCCUCGGUAGUGGUCCUCGGCCCGUCAUGGGCGUGCCGGGGGCUUCGAUCGAUGGCCGGC